CCUACGGGUGGCAGCAGUGAGGAAUAUUGGUCAAUGGACGAGAGUCUGAACCAGCCAAGUAGCGUGAAGGAUGACUGCCCUAUGGGUUGUAAACUUCUUUUAUCUGGGAAUAAAACGUUCCACGUGUGGGAGUUUGUAUGUACCCUAUGAAUAAGGAUUGGGUAACUCCGGUCCAGGAGCCGCGGUGAUACGGAGGAUCCGAGCGUUAUCCGGAUUUAUUUGGUUUAAAGGGUGGGUAGGUGGGUAGUUAAGUCAGGUGUGAAAGUUUGCGGCUCAACCGUAGAAUUGCAGUUGAAACUGGCAGUCUUGAGUACAGUAGAGGUAGGCGGAAUUCGUGGUGUAGCGGUGAAAUGCUUAGAUAUCACGAAGAACUCCGAUUGCGAAGGCAGUUCACUGGACUGCAACUGACACUGAGGCUCGAAAGUGUGGGGAUCAAACAGGAUUAGAUACCCGUGUAGUC
rnacentral:rRNA from 1 species